GAUGAACGCUGGCGGCGUGCCUAAUACAUGCAAGUCGAGCGAACGGACGAGAAGCUUGCUUCUCUGAUGUUAGCGGCGGACGGGUGAGUAACACGUGGAUAACCUACCUAUAAGACUGGGAUAACUUCGGGAAACCGGAGCUAAUACCGGAUAAUAUUUUGAACCGCAUGGUUCAAAAGUGAAAGACGGUCUUGCUGUCACUUAUAGAUGGAUCAGCGCUGCAUUAGCUAGUUGGUAAGGUAACGGCUUACCAAGGCAACGAUGCAUAGCCGACCUGAGAGGGUGAUCGGCCACACUGGACCUGAGACACGGUCCAGACUCCUACGGGAGGCAGCAGUAGGGAAUCUUCCGCAAUGGGCGAAAGCCUGACGUAGCAACGCCGCGUGAGUGAUGAAGGUCUUCGGAUCGUAAAACUCUGUUAUUAGGGAAGAACAUAUGUGUAAGUAACUGUGCACAUCUUGACGGUACCUAAUCAGAAAGCCACGGCUAACUACGU
rnacentral:rRNA from 1 species